GAACCCACAGAUUCAAACAGGUAGCCAGGCAUCAUGGCGGCCCUUGCCAGUGGAGAGGACGGCCGCUAUUUUGCCUGUUAUUCUUCCAUCGUAACUAAAUGAGGCAAUGGCGGAUAUAUCUAGCUAGCGGAUAUGAAAGCCUUGUCAUGUGGCUCCACUUAGUGACGUGUUAGGCUUACAAUAAGUGACAAAUAAAGCAGAUAUUGGCGGAUAAAUGGGGAAGGCUGCCUCCACCUCAGCUGAUAACAUAAGGCAAUAAUUGAUGAACACAACACACCACGUGGAGAGAAGCAAGGUGUGGAGUACCCAAGCCUCUCACAGUCCAUGCUAGUAGACUCACCCUGCAUGUGGAGAUCUCCCAAAAUGCACGGAGGUUAUUCCAGAGCUGCAGGACAGAGUACUUGAGGCCAUUGGUGAACAGAAAGCUGAGGUUGAACAAAGGUAGAGUAAAGAUUACACUGACAUUUGGGACAUUGACGUUGUUUGUUACCAGUAUUAUAUUGAUUCCUUUUAUUUCAGCCAAGAAUUGAUAGCUGCCCAAGGUGUAAGCAAGAUUCACAAUGAUGAGGUCAUUGUGACGUGUGCAAUGUGUCCACUGGUCUUGGCCUUCCUGACCAAGGCAGCCACACAAAGGAAAUUCCACGUUAUUGUUGCCGAACGUGCCCCUAAAUAUGAUGUAAGGGUCACCCAGUGGCAAAAGCUUUAUGUACUGCUGGAAUUGAGACAACAUUAAUUCAAGACUCUGCAGUGUUCCCCAUCAUGUCACGUGUCAACAAGGUCAUCAAAGGUCAUCGUUGGCACCGAGACGGUGGUGACCAACGGAGGCAUUGAGACCUUUGUUGGUGCAGCCUCUCUUGCCUCACCACCAAAGUUUUAUUCUGUUCCACUGUAUGUGUGCACUCCCACAUACAAAUUUAGCUUGAUGGGCUGUGAAGAAAUAAGCCACCAAACCACCACUUCUAUUAUCCCAGAGGGAACAAAGUUUUGGCCGUCUGUAAAUACUGCGCUGACUCAGCUAGAUUACGUUCCUCCAGAAAAUGUCACCAGUUUGAUAACUAACAAUCGAGGUACUGCACCAUCCUACGUGUACCGGCAGCUUAGCGAACUGUACCGUCCCACUUCUUGUGAUCUCUAAGGUAACAGCUUUAAUCCUUGCAAAUAAGGAAUAAGAGAAAAGAGACACACCUGCCAUUUGUACUGUUAUGCUGUAGUGUUCUGUCAUUUUUUUUCCUCUUUUAUCCUAGAACCAUUUUUGGUCAUUCAUGUUUCUAAAAAUUAUUAUACAAAAAUGUUGAGCUUAAUAUGUUUGGUGUAGUUUUUUGUAACAUGUGUUAUUGUUAAUGUGUGUGGUUCCCCUCAGGAAGAAUGUUGCAGUAUUAGCAGUAAUGUUACAGCCAAUGGAAGUGUCUGUAUUGUGCUUUGGUGGGAGGUUAAUUUGAUGUAUUUUUAGAGUUGUGCAGGAUAUUAUAGCAAGCCCUCAAAAUAAAGAAAAUAACUAUAGAAAACA